rnacentral:rRNA from 1 species
AACAAACGCUGGCGGCGUGCCUAAUACAUGCAAGUCGAACGGGGAAAGCUUUCGGGUGAGUACCAGUGGCGCACGGGUGAGUAACGCGUGGAUAAUCUGCCUUAGAGUGGGGGAUAACUAGUCGAAAGAUUAGCUAAUACCGCAUAAGACCACACGAAAUACGGUUCAAGGGGUCAAAGGUUUUUCGCUCUAGGAUGAGUCCGCGUAAGAUUAGCUAGUUGGUAGGGUAACGGCCUACCAAGGCGAAGAUCUUUACCUGGUCUGAGAGGAUGAUCAGUCACACUGGAACUGAGACACGGUCCAGACUCCUACGGGAGGCAGCAGUAGGGAAUAUUGCACAAUGGAGGAAACUCUGAUGCAGCGACGCCGCGUGAGUGAUGAAGGCCUUCGGGUCGUAAAGCCCUGUCGCAGGGGAAUAACACAAUGAAGGUACCCUGUAAGAAAGGAUCGGCUAACUUCGUGCCAGCCGCCGCAGUAAGAC